rnacentral:ncRNA from 2 species
AGUAAAUCGUUGACGAGAAGAAGUAAAUGCAGCAUGCUCCAAAGAGAGGAUCAUCACCGGCUGAAAAUGAUCCGGGCCGCUGCUGCGUUGAAAUGCCUCUCCGAGUGCUGAGUCGAAUCAAGUAGACCAGACGUAUCGCCUGCGUUAAAGGCGUUCGAGAGAGAAAGGCUACCGCCUUUCUAAUCAGAGUGGAACCGCGCAAUUAUGCGUCUCUGUC